rnacentral:lncRNA from 1 species
AUUGCUUUUCAGUAGGUAAAUUAAGAUUCACUUGGGAAUGCUUAUAAAAAACAUGCAUCUCCUGGUUUCUAAUCUCACCCCAUCCUCUGUGAUUUGGUGAGUCUGACCAAAGCCACCAGCUAUUUUGAUGCAGGAGGUGGUGCACUGACUAUUCUUUGAGAAACACUGCUUUGGAAGAAGGAGAUGUGCCAUGCCAUUCUCAGAGUAGCCAUCAUCCCUUUCCCUCUUACAAUCUUUUACUUUAGAUGUGGCAACAGUAAAGUCAUAAUGAAUUCAUGAUCUGUGUUCCGGGGUAGACAGAGCAAUAACUUCAGUGUCAUUUUGGAGUAGAGAUCCUCUGAUCCUGGAGAAGUGGGUGGCUGGUUCUGCUAAGAGAGCUUGCAUUAAAGGGUAGGUCAAAAUUUUGCUUGUUUUUUUUUUUUUUUUUUUUUUUUUCGGGGAAUGGGACGGGCCCUGGAAGGGUUCCCAGACUGUGGAAGAGAGGAGAAGCACAUUGGCCACCAGCUGUUCUGGAAGAGUGACUCAUCCGCCUAUGUGGCAUCAACAGAGGGUGGUGGAAUCACUCCCUUGACCAUGGGGGGCGAUGGGGAGGUGGUGGGUGUGGUUAGAGAGUGCAGAGCACUGUGAGGAGUGGUGCAUUCCAGAGGGGAACCAGACCCCCUGCAAGGGUGCCAAUCUGUGCCCUCAGUCUCCUUGGCAGCUGAUGAAGGAGGGAGAGGGAGGGGGCAAAGGAACAACUUCAUCAAGACCACAGAGGCACUAUUUAGUCAUUGG